UCGUAACGUGAAUUGCAGGACAUUGCGAACGUACAAUCUUCGAACGCACAUUGCGGCAUUGGGUUGACUGAUGCCACGCCUGGUUGAGGGCCUGUUGAAAAAACCAUCAUGACUCUGCGUAGUCGUGAACUGUCUGGAUAGUUGGCGCAAGCCGACUAGCAGAUCAAGUCGAGUCCGAAUGCGUGCUUGACUAUAGCGAUGCUUACUGCGUACCCUGCGUCGGUACGGGGUGAAUGUCGGUUGGAGUUGGAAGCCGUUGGGCGGCUGGUAUGCGCCGUGCACCGCAGUUGCAUGCGCUCCAGUGUCUAGUCCCUGUUCCACUACUCGUGCCGAAUUGCGCUCUAAGCAGCACAGCGUCCACUGAGCACAUCUGCUUACAAGCAUUCGUGAUGAAAAUGCGUCUUGCGGUAUAGUGCGCGCUUGCACACUGCGAGCGCCAAAACUUCAUUCUUUAGGCCUCAGCUCAGACGAGACUACCCGCUGAACUUAAGCAUAUCAA
rnacentral:rRNA from 1 species